rnacentral:rRNA from 1 species
GUGGGGAAUAUUGGACAAUGGGCGAAAGCCUGAUCCAGCCAUGCCGCGUGUGUGAAGAAGGUCUUCGGAUUGUAAAGCACUUUAAGUUGGGAGGAAGGGCAGUAAGUUAAUACCUUGCUGUUUUGACGUUACCGACAGAAUAAGCACCUGCUAACUUCGUGCCAGCAGCCGCGGUAAUACGAAGGGUGCAAGCGUUAAUCGGACUUACUGGGCGUAAAGCGCGCGUAGGUGGUUUUGUAAGUUGGAGGUUAAAUCCCCGGGCUCAACCUGGGAACUGCCUCCAAAACUGCAUGACUAGAGUACGGUAGAGGGUAGUGGAAUUUCAUGUGUAGCAGUGAAAUGCGUAGAUAUAGGAAGGAACACCAGUGGCUAAGGCGACUACCUGGACUGAUACUGACACUGAGGUGCGAAAGCGUGGGGAGCAAACAGGAUUAGAUACCCGGGUAGUCC